UACGUAGGGGGCAAGCGUUGUCCGGAUUUAUUGGGCGUAAAGAGCGUGUAGGCGGCCCGACAGGUCCGUUGUGAAAACUCGAGGCUCAACCUCGAGACGUCGAUGGAAACCGUCGGGCUAGAGUCCGGAAGAGGAGAGUGGAAUUCCUGGUGUAGCGGUGAAAUGCGCAGAUAUCAGGAGGAACACCCGUGGCGAAAGCGGCUCUCUGGGACGGUACUGACGCUGAGGAGCGAAAGCGUGGGGAGCGAACAGG
rnacentral:rRNA from 1 species